AGCCCCACCAAGGUGGCCGGCACCCGGUCGGAGUCAAACCGCAGACGCCGCGCGCGUGAGCCGGGUGCACCGCCAGAUAUUUUAAGAAUGUGACAGUUUUAAUUAAAAUAUUUUUCUGUUAUCAAGAAGUGUCAUUGUUUUGAAGGUGCACUUUUCAACGAUAAUGUCAAGACUCAUAGUUUUGCUGUUAAUUGCGCAUUUGCAAUUAGUUAUCAACGUGCCUCUAAGCCCCAAUGAGAAGCAAACACAAACCUUCAAGAUUGACCAUAGCAACCCACCGAAUGCAAUCCCAAGUCACAAUAAUGAGAAACUCCCAAUACUAGUUCCUGUGGUCCAGCUCCAUCACGUGACGUUCGUAGAGCCGAAACUGACAAACGUCAGAAAGAAGAAAGGCCCGAACUUCCCUCUAAUACACCACCAUCUUCUGGCACCAACGACUUUGCAUGUCAUACCGAUACACUCCAAUUUUCAUCAGAACUCUAUACAUGCUGGCAUCAACCACAUAAUUUCAAACAAUAAUGUGCCUAUCGUUUCACAUUCGUAUUCACAUGGUAGCUCAAACGCAACUCAUCCCACACAAUUGAUACCAAUUUUGAUACCGAUACAUACACACCUGGUCCCGUUGCAUGAUUUGACGGUCAUACCAUUGCAUAGAGAUGUGCAUCAUGUUGAGCAAAAGCUGAGCCAUUAUAGAGCUUCCAUGGAGAAGAAGGACGCGGAUGAGGAAGAACCAAUAAACAGAUUUAGGUCGUUCUAUGGCGGUUUUGGGAACGGACUCUACAUCGGAGGCCAUGGCGCUGGUCAUGGAUUUUACUCCUAUGGUUAGGUUAAUGUAUGAAAUAGAUGAAUAUGAAAAUAAUUCAACAUGAAGUUAAAAAUAUGAAUAACACGUGAAUUUGUAUGUAACUAAUAUAUUUCUAUUAUUGUCAUAUUGAUGCUCAAACUUUUUAAAUUAGCUUAGUGUAGUCAACUACAAUAAGUACGACGCCUACCGACCACUAUAGUUGACUACUUUAAUCUUUAGACAACGUUGAUAUGUAGUAAAAGAAAUAGAUCCUAUCAAAAUAUUUAGAAACCUGUCUGAAUUUUAAGUUUGUAAUUAAUUGUUAAUUAGUUUAAGUAUUUAUUGAAUAAAAUGGUUAAAAUAUC